UACGGGGGGCAAGCGUUGUUCGGAAUUACUGGGCGUAAAGCGCGCGUAGGCGGCUUUCAAGUCGGGCGUGAAAGCCCCGGGCUUAACCCGGGAAUGGCGCUCGAUAACUGUUGAGCUAGAGUGUGGAAGGGGCUACUGGAAUUCCGUGUGUAGCGGUGAAAUGCGUAGAUAUCAGGAGGAAUACCGGUGGCGAAAGCGGACUCUCGUGGACGGCAACUGACGCUGAGGCACGAAAGCGUGGGGAGCAAACAGG
rnacentral:rRNA from 1 species